ACACCUGUGCACAUUUUUGAGGGAGUUUCGAGCUUUAUUGCCGUUUUUGGUGAUUUUCUUGUAUUCCCUUGAAUUAUUAUACGCUGUUAACAAUGAUGAACGUGCUCUGUGCCGCAAGGCCAUUAAUAUAAUACAACUUUUAACAACGGAUCUCUUGGCUCUCGCAUCGAUGAAGAACGCAGCGAAAUGCGAUAAGUAAUGUGAAUUGCAGAAUUCAGUGAAUCAUCGAAUCUUUGAACGCACCUUGCGCUCCCUGGUAUUCCGGGGAGCACGCCUGUUCGAGUGUCGCGAAAUUUCUCAAGCUUGGAUGGCCUUUUUGUCUGUCCUUAGCCUUGGUUGUUGGGCUUUGCCGUGUCCUUUGUUGGGACGGCUGGCCUUAAAAGCAUUAGCUGAUCCUCGUGUGGCACUGGUUCUACUCAGCGUGAUAACAGUCUGAUCGCUGAGGACAUCUUUUGGGAUGGCCAGUUCUCAUUUGGGUUGCUUCCAAACUUGGUUUUGCAGAUUCUUCAAUCUGUGUUCCACUUUUCAGCUUUGACCUCGAAUCAGGUGGGACUACCCGCUGAACUUA
rnacentral:rRNA from 1 species